UCCUCUCGUCUCCUCGCCGCCGGCUCGCGCGACAUCGCGACGGAGGCGGAGCCCAUGGCCGGCCGCCGCCGCAGCAGGCGAGGAGCACGUCGGGCGCAGCAGCCCCAUCGAAAGACGAACCUGCACUGCAGGAUCCCGCCGAUCCCAGACUCGGAGCAAAUGGAGAACCCAUAGUGAUUGGGCUAUGCUCUUAAUCCUGCAGUACAUAGUGAUUGGGCUAUGGUCUGAAUCCUGCACUUGGUGUGUUAUGAAAACCUUUUAUGUUCUGUUGCUUCAUGCUAUUUUGACCGAAGUCAGCAAGUGAAACCCCAACAUAUUUUUUUUUUCAUUUUUUGAUAAUGCAGACAUGUUUAAAUUCGCUCCCACGGAGAGUCGAACCUAGGUCUGAUGGUGCUACUCAGGUGCUCUAACCACUAGGCUAGAGGCCCUUUCGCGUUGCUUCAUGCUAUUCAUCCUGAGGACUUACAAAUGAAGCAAAUUUAAAUACCCCUUUGUUGUGAUUCUGAAAAUAUUACUAAUUUAAGUUUAGUGGGUUGAUA